CACGCAGGCGGUUAGAUAAGUCAGAUGUGAAAGCCCCGGGCUCAACCUGGGAACUGCAUUUGAAACUGUCUGACUAGAGUCUUGUAGAGGGGGGUAGAAUUCCAGGUGUAGCGGUGAAAUGCGUAGAGAUCUGGAGGAAUACCGGUGGCGAAGGCGGCUUUCUGGACUGUAACUGACGUUGAGGCUCGAAAGUGUGGGUAGCAAACA
rnacentral:rRNA from 1 species